CACACAUGACGCCUCUCUUUAUGUUCUGUACUUGGUGUGUUAGUUUCCUGUGCCUGCCCUAACAAAGCACCACAAACCAGGUGUCUGCCUGAGAUAGGAAUCUAGGCCAAAACAUUUCAGAUACUUGUUGUCAGAGGGCAGUAUGGAUGGGGGAAUAGGAUGAUGUGUUCCAGAACUUGGCCUGAGAAGCAAUGCUGUGAGUCUACAGGGGAGUCACAGAGACUCAUUCAUCAAAUUACUGCUCUGUGCAGAUGUGUCAUUUUAUGUUCUAGGUCUUUGAGGAAUCACCACACUGUCUUCCACAAUGGUUGAACUAAUUUACUUUCCCACCAAUGGUGUAAAAAGGGGAAAAAGAAAUCCUUCCAUUCUCUAAACUAGCUUGAGUUGAUUUAUAUCACAGCAUCUCCAAGAGCAUAGAUCUUCUGCUACACGACAGGGCCAGGGCCAGGACCACUUUCAGCUCCAGGCAAUUGCACUGAGGACUCAGUGACACAACCGUGUGAAGUGCCUGCUUCCCCUUCGCCUUCUGCCAUGAUUGGAAGCUUCCUGAGGCCUCUACAGAAGCAGAAGCCGCUAUGCUUCCUGUACAGCUUGCAGAACUAUGAGCCAAUUAAACCUCUUUUCUUUGUUAA